UACAGAGGUCCCGAGCGUUGUUCGGAUUCACUGGGCGUAAAGGGUGCGCAGGUGGGUUGGCAAGUUUGAUGUGAAAGCCCCGGGCUUAACCCGGGAAAGGCAUUGAAUACUGCUGAUCUGGAGGAUCGGAGGGGGGACUGGAAUUCCUGGUGUAGCGGUGAAAUUCGUAGAUAUCGGGAGGAACACCAGUGGCGAAGGCGGCGACCUGGGCCAAUAUUGACGCUGAGGUGCGAAAGCGUGGGGAGCAAACAGG
rnacentral:rRNA from 1 species